rnacentral:lncRNA from 1 species
GGGUUCUCUAGAGGGACAGAACUAAUAGGAUAUAUGUAUAUAUGAAAGGGAUUUUAUUAAGGAGAAUUGACUUACAUGAUCACAAGGUGAAGUCCCACGAUAGGCCAUAUGCAAGCUGAGGAGCAAAGCAGCUAUAAAUAUUAGUUUGGCCGGGUGCCCUGGAGUCAUAAGAAGUGAGGGGUAAUUUUAGGUCUUGACUACUCUGUCGGCAACAAAAGCCUUAAUUGGCAAUCAAUGUGUGUAAAGCCAUUUAGGAAAGAAUGAGUGGGCUGCACGUGGCCACAGGCUGCUCCUACAGUGGGAUCACAGGGAACUUGCUCGAGAAUCUGAUGUUAGAGGAUGCCAAAGCAGUAAGCAGCUUCGUGGGACAAAAAACAAUAGUGCAUGAUUAGACAGACAACUGCAACCCCUUGACACUUAAUUCCAGAAAUCAUUUAAGAAUCACUUGAAAAAGGAAUAUAUUAUUGUUCUCCUUCCAAUAACCAAGUGUCUUCUGAAAACCUUUCAUUGUCACUUUCUGGUAAUUGAACAAUGAGAACACAUGGACACAGGAAGGGGAACAUCACACACUGGGAACUGUUGUGGGGUGGGGGGAGGGGGGAGGGAUAGCAUUGGGAGAUAUACCUAAUGCUAAAUGACGAGUUAAUGGGUGCAGCACACCAACAUGGCACAUGUAUGCAUAUGUAACAACCCUGCACAUUGUGCACAUGUACCCUAAAACUUAAAAUAUAAUAAUAAUAAAAUUUAAAAAAA